GACGAACGCUGGCGGCGUGCUUAACACAUGCAAGUCGAACGGAAAGGCCCUGCUUUUGUGGGGUGCUCGAGUGGCGAACGGGUGAGUAACACGUGAGUAACCUGCCCUUGACUUUGGGAUAACUUCAGGAAACUGGGGCUCAUACCGGAUAGGAGCUCCUGCUGCAUGGUGGGGGUUGGAAAGUUUCGGCGGUUGGGGAUGGACUCGCUGCUUAUCCGCUUGUUGGUGGGGUAGUGGCUUACCAAGGCUUUGACGGGUAGCCGGCCUGAGAGGGUGACCGGCCACAUUGGGACUGAGAUACGGACCAGACUCCUACGGGAGGCAGCAGUGGGGAAUAUUGCACAAUGGGCGGAAGCCUGAUGCAGCAACGCCGCGUGCGGGAUGACGGCCUUCGGGUUGUAAACCGAUUUCGCCUGUGACGAAGCGUGAGUGACGGUAAUGGGUAAAGAAGCAACGGCUAACUACGUG
rnacentral:rRNA from 1 species